rnacentral:rRNA from 1 species
GACGAACGCUGGCGGCGUGCCUAAUACAUGCAAGUAGAACGCUGAAGGAGGAGCUUGCUUCUCUGGAUGAGUUGCGAACGGGUGAGUAACGCGUAGGUAACCUGCCUGGUAGCGGGGGAUAACUAUUGGAAACGAUAGCUAAUACCGCAUAAUAGUAGAUGUUGCAUGACAUUUGCCUAAAAGGUGCAAUUGCAUCACUACCAGAUGGACCUGCGUUGUAUUAGCUAGUUGGUGGGGUAACGGCUCACCAAGGCGACGAUACAUAGCCGACCUGAGAGGGGGAUCGGCCACACUGGGACUGAGACACGGCCCAGACUCCUACGGGAGGCAGCAGUAGGGAAUCUUCGGCAAUGGACGGAAGUCUGACCGAGCAACGCCGCGUGAGUGAAGAAGGUUGUCGGAUCGUAAAGCUCUGUUGUAAGAGAAGAACGAGUGUGAGAGUGGAAAGUUCACACUGUGACGGUAUCUUACCAGAAAGGGACGGCUAACUACGUG